GCAAGGUAAAACGCUUGUAUGAUGCUUUUCAUGAACCUUUCAAGCGAGAAGUGCCAAAACGCCAAUGCAUUCCAGAAACUUCAGUCGCUAAUGAAUCUCAUCCUGGCUCCAGCAACACAAAGGAAGAUGAGAAAGAAAUCGUGGAUACAAGCAACAGUGCGAAGAAAGAACCCGAAGUGACUGUCAAGUCAGCACUUUCGGCUGCUUUUGCUAAGUACUCGCACAAAAUUACAAGAAAGAAGAAUAAUAAAUCACGAGAAGAGGAAGAAGGGAAAUGCAGUACUAACGAAGAAGCUAAAACAGGAGACGUGAACGGCAGCAACAACUGCUGAAUCUUGGUCUCUUCCUUUCAGGCUAACAUUCCUAAUUUUAUAUUCUCCCCAUUUGUUUGAUUUCAUAGAAAUUAAUGGAA
rnacentral:misc_RNA from 1 species